AGUGAACGCUGGCGGUAGGCCUAACACAUGCAAGUCGAACGGCAGCACAGUAAGAGCUUGCUCUUACGGGUGGCGAGUGGCGGAUGGGUGAGGAAUACAUCGGAAUCUACUUUUUCGUGGGGGAUAACGUAGGGAAACUUACGCUAAUACCGCAUACGACCUACGGGUGAAAGCAGGGGAUCUUCGGACCUUGCGCGAUCGAAUGAGCCGAUGUCGGAUUAGCUAGUUGGUGGGGUAAAGGCCCACCAAGGCGACGAUCCGUAGCUGGUCUGAGAGGAUGAUCAGCCACACUGGAACUGAGGCACGGUCCAGACUCCUACGGGAGGCAGCAGUGGGGAAUAUUGGACGAUGGGCGCAAGCCUGAUCCAGCCAUACCGCGUGGGUGAAGAAGGCCUUCGGGUUGUAAAGCCCUUUUGUUGGGAAAGAAAAGCGGCAGGUUAAUACCCCGCUGUUCUGACGGUACCCAAAGAAUAAGCACCGGCUAACUUCGUG
rnacentral:rRNA from 1 species